AAAUUGAAGAGUUUGAUCAUGGCUCAGAUUGAACGCUGGCGGCAGGCCUAACACAUGCAAGUCGAGCGGAAACGAGUUAUCAGAACCUUCGGGGGACGAUAACGGCGUCGAGCGGCGGACGGGUGAGUAAUGCCUAGGAAAUUGCCCUGAUGUGGGGGAUAACCAUUGGAAACGAUGGCUAAUACCGCAUGAUGCCUACGGGCCAAAGAGGGGGACCUUCGGGCCUCUCGCGUCAGGAUAUGCCUAGGUGGGAUUAGCUAGUUGGUGAGGUAAGGGCUCACCAAGGCGACGAUCCCUAGCUGGUCUGAGAGGAUGAUCAGCCACACUGGAACUGAGACACGGUCCAGACUCCUACGGGAGGCAGCAGUGGGGAAUAUUGCACAAUGGGCGCAAGCCUGAUGCAGCCAUGCCGCGUGUGUGAAGAAGGCCUUCGGGUUGUAAAGCACUUUCAGUCGUGAGGAAGGC
rnacentral:rRNA from 1 species